UAAAUUUCUGAUUUACUUAAAUCAGAAAGUUAAACACGAAACCCUAAGAAAGAUAGAAAAUAGGGAGAAUUAUUAUGCUAUGGUCAAACCUUAGCAGUUGGGCUGUUUUAAUUUUGAUUUAGCUUUAAUUUUAAUAUGGUCUAAAUUAACCUAUAGUGAAAAGAGCGAGUAAAGUUUUGGGUGCAGAGGAAACUUACUCAUUUGGGUAAAUCCCUAUAAGGUAAAUAAGUACUCCUGAGGAGAAUCUCUCUCUAGCUUUUCUCUAACUUCUCUCUAAAGGUUUUCAAAAAAAUAAAAUCGUGCUUGGUGGCCGGUGGUUCACCACUGCCAGUCACCUCUUUGUUUUUUUUUUGUCUAGCUCCGGCCAGUCCGGCCAGUUCGGUAUCACCUCCGACUUGCUUCGGUUUCUUUUGCUUUUAUUUGUAUCUUAUCUAUCCGUCUUUUGCAUGUUUCCUUCUGACUUUCUAUCCUCUUCAUGAAAGUCUUAGAUGCCGGGAAACGGAUUUCGUUCUCGAUUCCUUUGGCUUAUGCUUGGUCGUGUCUACACUUAGUUGUAAAUCUCUGCUUACACUUAGAAACUGUUUAGAGCAGAGUUUCUUUGUUGUCAGAUUCGACAAGAUUUUCAGGUUGUUGAGUUUCUAUGCUUGAAGAAUCGGGGAUUUUCGUCGCGUUCAAAUGAGUCUCUCAGGAAAGCUAGCGCUCAGCUAAUCUGCGUUCGUCUCUCUACUCCAAUGGUUAUGCUUGAGCUGAUCCUUACUAUCGGAGAUAAGCAAAAGAUGCUAAGGCGGUUCGUAAUUGCGCUUAGGUGUUUGUAUGUGAUAAUCUACAAAUCCUAAGCUGUGAGGACGUGAUUCAAGAGAUGUUUCGUGCGGCGGAGAGAAGAAGAAAUCAAAUCGGCGGUCUCCGAUGCGUGAUAGCAUCACUGAAGACGUGGCUCAUCUAAGACCAAAGGAAGUGGAGUACACGUGCCAUUCUAUUGUUUGUCCUUAUCCUUUUGUCUUGAGUCUCGUUAUGGGCUUACUGUAAAUCAAAUUUUGUGUUAGAAUCUGUCCUUUAAGAACCAGGCCUGUAUCAAUCUAGCCCUUUGUGGCUUUAUCAAUAUAAAAUGCCGAAAAAAAAAAAAUAAGCACUCCUGAGUUUAUUUGAUUAUUUCUGGAAAGAUAUUACUAUCAGGGGAAAAUCUCAUUUUAAACACUCAGUGUCUCACUUUCUAUCAUUUUAAACACGGUAUUGUUCAUUUUCCAGGUCAAAAUAAUGAUGUGUCGGCUUUUUUUUUUUAAAACAGAAAAAUACAGAAAAAUUAGAAUGAAAUUGGAAAAAAUUAUAAAAAACUCAAAACAAAAUUAAAAAAAAAAUCUAAAAAUUCAAAAAACAUUAAAAUUAAAAUUUCAAACUUAAAAAUAAAAUAAAAUACUAAAAAUUCAAAAAUAAGAUCUAAAAUUAAAAUGUUAAAUUUAAAAAAGAAAAUAAAAUUUUAAAAAUUCCAAAAAUUCUAAAAUAAGAUCUAAAAUUAAAACUUCAAACUUAAAAAUUAAAAUUGUAAAUAUUUAACCAAAAAAAUUAUAUUUAUUUUAAAAUUUCAUCCAAUGAAAGUGACGGUCACUUAUGAUGAUAUCAAAACUUGCCACCAUCGAAAACAAUAUAUCAAAACUUGCUACCAUCAAAAACUUUUUUUUUGAUAAUCCGGAUAUCUAGACACUUUACAUAACCCGACUAGCGCCUAAGUACACUUCGCAGAAAGCAUCUCGGGGGUUGCCAAUUUCACCCCAUGUUAAUUGAUGGUGGCUACGCGCAGGGCUAAUAAUUCUCUCAAAUAAAUUAUUUUUGAGUUUUGUCAAGAUUUUCUAAAACCAAAAUGUUUCAUUAAAGAUGCAAAAGGCUCUUAUGCUCUAAAUAUAUAAAUACAAAUAAAUAAAGACAAAUUUCAAAAAAAAAAAUAUUUUAGCUCUUAUUUUAGAAUUUUUAGAAUUUUUAUAAUUUUAUUUUAUUUUUUAAAUUUGACAUUUUAAUUUUAGAUCUUAUUUUUGAAUUUUUAGAAUUUUUAAUAUUUUAUUUUAUUUUUAAGUUUGAAAUUUUAAUUUAAAUUUUUUUGAAUUUUUAGAUUUUUUUUUGAAUUUUGUUUUGAAUUUUUUACAAUUUUUCCAAUUUCAUUAGAAUUUUUCUGUAUUAUUUUUUUUAAAGAAAUUGACACGUCAUCAUGUUGACCUGUAAAAUUAACAGUACUGGACGUCUAUGAACAGGAAAACGGCUUUGGAAGUUUAUUAUGAUAAGAAUGUCAUUUUGAAGGUUUAAAGUGGUAGUAAAAAAAAUUAAUGUUUAAAGAGUUAGAAAGUGAUACUCUGAGUGUUUAAAAUGUGAUUUUCCGUUACUAUUAGGGUCUAAGAAUAGAUAAUUCUUUUCAUGCAAUAUAUAGCCUAUUGGGGAAUUCUUGUACGUUGAUUAUUUGAUAUGCAAUGAUCAUUCUUUAGUGUUUAAACAUAUAUAAGAUAAUAAAAAUGGUCAGGAGUCAAGACUAAUGUAACCAAAGUCAAAUAGAUAUUCGUAUGAUUACCGUUUUUGUAGAUUAUAGAUGGGUAGAUACUUGUCACUAGGUCAAAAACACAUGUGCUCUCAUUCUUUCCUUUUUUUUGUCAAAAUUAUAAAGUGACAAAAUUCCAGCUGAUUAUUUGCGCCUCUAAAUUUCUAAUACAUACAUAAAAGAUGUAUAUUUAUUCUUCUUAUUUUGCUAUUCUUAAUUGUCUAAAUAUAUAAGUGACCAAAAACUGAAUUUACGAGAUUUAUAUACGAAUCGUCAAACCAUUACUGUCCUGAACUAUUAUAAAGAAAAGAAUUAUAUAAUUGUCGAUUUAUGAGUUUAUUUUUUUAGUGUAGUUUUAAAGAUGUAACAUCAUUUAAACAAUUUGGUAUAAUAUAUAAUAAUAAUAAAAAUUGACCAAAACCAAAACCCACAGCCAUAAACUCGAAGUUAUAUAUAGCUAAUUUAUAAAGUAUCACUAUAUCUUUCUUUUUUGUUGGUAAAAGCAUCACACUGUAUAUAUCUAAAAAACGAAACUAUCAAAGAAAAUCCAACAUCAAAACCACGUCGUGGUGGCCUAGUGGUUUCCACUAGAGAAGGAGUUGUCUUCUUGGUCCAGGCCAGGAAUUGACUCUUUUUAGUGCGAAAUUAUUAGCUCUACAUACGUGGAUAUGAGUCCAUGCUUACGGUCUAUUUGAAUAUCCGGGAGAAAAUCCAUCAGUGGGUUGCACCUCCUAUCCAGAGAUUAAGUAUGUGUCUUUAAUAGACCCGAGUUUAACCCUUCUAGUCUUAAAAAAAAAAUCCAACAUCAAAAUCAAUUUAAAUCCUAGUUUUUUUUUUUUUUUUAGGUAACCGCGGAUUUCCGGCGACCGUGGUCAACCGACUAUUUCCGCGAGGCCCACGGCACUCUACGUAUUCUUGGGAUUUAAUCCUAGUCCGGGUGGCCAGCGGAACUCGAACUGCGGAUACCGUAUUGGAGGUUUUCCCCUCAAGUACCACUAGCCCAAGGCCGCUGGUUGAUUUAAAAUCCUAGUUAAUUAAGCACAAGUAGCUACGAUGGAAUAUCCGGCAAACAAAAAUGAUGAACCUUUUCUGAAGUUUUAAUUAUUAUUAUUUUUGGCUUCAUGCAGAUAUACAUAGAGAGAGAUAGAUACAUAUGUAUGAUAGUGUGCAUCCAAAUUGGACAAAGAGAAUAGAUGGAAAAAGAGAGAGUCAUCUUUUAGAAAGAGCCAAAACCAUAUCAGAAAAAAAAAAACUCUUUUAAUCCAAACCAUAUACCCAUGUACAAAUCCUCUCUUUCUUUCUUCCCUCAAAAUUCUUUUCUUUCUUGGGUUUAAGGAAAUCUUAGAUCUUGUUCUUGUGGGGUUUUAGGGUUCUUGGGACUAACUUUUUUUUCAGAAAUGGGUAAGCGUGGUGGGAAAAAUGGUAACGAAAACUAUGACGGCGUUGGUUUUAAUGGUCAAGGAGGCAGUGGAGUUAGGCCAUACGUACGGUCUCCGGUGCCUAGACUCAAGUGGACGGCGGAUCUCCACCGUUGUUUUGUUAACGCCGUCGAUAUGCUCGGUGGCCAACAUCGUACGUCCAUAUUUUGAUACUUUAUCUCUUGUUUUAUUCACACACACACAUAUAUAUAUAUAUAUAUAUAUAUAUAUAUAUAUGUCUUAAAGUUUCUUUUCGGUAUUUCUUCAAAGAUUAAAAUUUCUCAUGCACUUUUGCUACUUUGUUGCAUUCAUAUAUAUCUUAAAAUUAAAGUUCAAGUUUUUUUUUUAUCUUUUUGAAAUAGUUUGAAACUUCUCAACGUUAAUCUUCAUCAUCGACCUAAACAACCAAAUUGGACAGUUUUUGAACCAAGCAUCACACCUUUGCUUAUUUGUUUCAUUCAUAUAUCUUAAACGUUUUCUCUUAUAAAGUAUUGCAAUUUCUCAUUUUUUGUUAAUGAAUAUUCAUGACAAAGAAUCAUCAUAGUCACCUUUUUAAUAUUUUUUUGUUCUCUUUUGUAUUUUUGUUGGGUUUGAUGAAACAGGAGCUACUCCAAAGCUUGUUCUUAAGAUGAUGGAUGUAAAGGGACUCACCAUUUCACAUGUCAAGAGUCAUCUUCAGGUAGCAAAUAUACCGAAUAUUAGUUUUCUCUCUCUUUCUUAUCCUUAUAUUAUUAUUUAUAAUAUCCUGAACAGAUGCAUAGAGGUUCUAAACUCACUUUGGGUAAACCAGGUAAUGUAUACUGUUUUCUUCCUUUUUUUUGUAAUUUUCCAAAAAUAUUCUGAUAUGAUUUUCUAAAGAAUGGGACCGUUGAAUAAUCUGAAUUGUUAACAUCAAAACUAUAAUAAUGGAUGGAAAUUAAUUGGUUUACUCCAUGAUUCAUAAGACAAUUGUCAUAAAAAUACAUAGCUAUUUUAAUAGGUCAAUAAAAUAUUCAUUAUGGUCAUAGCUUAAUUCUUUAUUAUUAUUAUUAUUUCGAAACAGAGGAAAACUCUUUAUUUUCAAUAAGAAGACAGGACACUGAAGAGGAUUAUCUUCAGGACUACUUGUCUUUACACAUAAGGAAUGAUUGUCCUACGGGUUUUCACACCUUUUCUCUUUCUUCACAUUCUUCUAGGUAAUUUUAUUUAUUUUAAAGUAGUUUCUGACAAAUCCUUAAUUUGCAUCAGAAAUGUUAUCAUAUACUUUUUGUCUCUAUUUGAAUUGUCCUUUUUGUAUUUUUUAAAUAUUACUUUGGUACGGAAGAGGAAGAAGAAAGGAGCAUACUUCAGAGUCUCGUGGUGGAGAUGAUGUCGAUGACUCUCUUCACAUCAUGAACUUGAAGACGAACGAAACGACGUUUCCAUCACAUCAUUUCCACCAGGUAUAUUUUUAUCUUUUAUUUUUGUCAACAGGUAAUUAGAAAAUAAACGUUCUUGGUAUAAUUUUGAACACUUAACCGGGGUCAAAGCUAAACCAAAUCUAAUCCGUUUGAUAAUUGUUUCUUUGAAAUCCCAGGGGGGUGGGCAUAGAGUCUUAACCGGCUCGGUUAAAACUGGGUAAACCCCUGGAUAUUUCCGGUUUAGUAAAUAAUUUCGUUUUUUGCUCAAUAGAAUACAGAGAAGGAGACAAACCCUUGGCACGAACACGAACACGAACAUGAACAAGAACAUGAACAUGAAGAAGAAGAACUGUCGUUGUCGCUGUCGUUGAAUCAUCAUCAUUUGAGAAGCAACGGAUCAUCAGUGAGCGAAACAAGUGACGCGGUCUCGACAUGUUCAGCACCAUUCGUCAACAAAGAUUGCUUCGGUUCUUCACCAAAGAUUGAUCUUGACCUUAACCUUUCAAUUUCUCUCCUUGGCAGCUGAGACCACGAAUUAAAUCUUUAUUUAUUAGAUUAGUUGUAGUGAAACAUCAUAAUCUUUCGGUUCAAAAAAAAGAAACAUCAUAAUCUUUUGUUAAACUACUAGGAUUUCUUGAUUUUCCAAAGAUUUAAAGUCAGAAUCGACAAAAUUUUGAAAAUAAAAUUUGAAGUUACGUAUACAUCAAACUGAAACCUAAAAUGUAUAAAACAAUAAUGAAUCCAAACCGAAAAUAAAACAAACAUAGCCAUAACUUACAUCUUAAUUCUUAAACAAAACAUGUAAGUUGGAUCCUUUGUCACAGAACAUGAGGCUCACUAGUAGUAGUGCUUCACUCAAUUUUUUGGGUACUUGGAGAAGUUUUUUCUGAGGAUUGGUAUAGCUACUUAGACAGUUUCGUAAAGGUAGUUAGUUUAACGAUGUAAUAAGUUUUUUCUUUGAAAUAAAAUCGAGUACUUUCAAAAGAAAAAGAAAAAAAACAAUACAUUAUGUUGAUUACACUUAUGUGUAAACAUUCCUGAGAAAGAUAACAAAAAUGUCUUGUUCGUAGGCCCAAGCCCACUGGACCUUGGCAUUUGAUUUUUUUCGAUUUGGUUUCGGGCUUUUGAGUUUUGAGUUUUGUGGGUGUUCGGUUUUGUGGUUCACGUUGGUAAAAUUUUAUAUUCGUUUAUAAGAUACUAGGGUCGGUCCACCCCCGUGAAGUUAUAAUAAAAACUAUUUUAUUAUGCUGAACAAUGUUUAUAUACCUGAACUUCAAAACAACAAACAGAUUAUUUGUGCCUAAACAAUCAUAUAUUCUAUAGUAUUGCAUAUAGUUUCGAGCAGAACUAUCAUUUGUCCACACUAUACGUAAUCAUACACAAUUUAAAUAUUUGAUGAUUUGUUUAAAUUGAUUAGUUUAUCACACCCAAUGCAUAAGGCAUAAGGCAUAUUAAUACUACUCAUUUGAAAGCCAGAAAAAACAUUUCAUUAAAAACAAUUAACAUCCCAAAACGACAUUAUAAGAAUUGAUUUGAAUGAUUUAACAAUCAAAAUUUUUAGGAACCCAAAUCCUCACCCACUCAACCAUUCACCAAGAAGAAAACUAUUAAAACUUUAUAUGAAAAAGGUGACUUGGUCCGCCCUCUAGUUGCUUUCCUUUUUUAUUAAUCAUCCGCUAAUAUAUAAUUAGAUGAUUAAUUACCUAAACUUUCCUUUUUGGAGCUAAUUACUCAUAACUACCUGAAACCAAAACCGGUUCAUUCAAGCUAUAUUUUUUGGUUUAGUUAAAACGUAAUAGUAUUUUUUCUAGGUUUGCAUCGGUUUCAGUUUCUUCGAUUUACUUAAUUAUUAAAAUUAAAUUGAAAAGGAAAUUACUUAACAAUAAAAAAGGAACGUUUUGACAGAUUUGGUUCGCAAGUAAUUGAAGGUGUAGCAAAACAACAUCAAGUCAUUGUGACUGUCAUAAACGCUGGCUUUGACCUAUGCUCUCAAGGAGUUCUUCAUCACCACCGUGAACACCAACUUUCCGGCGAAAUCAACUUGUCUCUCCGUUGGGUCUGUGCUCCACUCAAACUCUUGAACCAUCCUCGCCAUCAUUAGCUCCACGUGUAUGAUCGCCAUCCUAAGCCUCGGGCAGAUCCGACGGUAGAUUCGAACGGCAUCAUCUUCACUCCUGCUACGGCGGUUAAAUCUGCCUCUUCUUCACCUAUUAUAAACUGGUCCGCGUCGAAUUUAUCCGGAUUGGACCAGAUAUUCGGGUCUUCACUCAUACUGGGAAGAUAUAACUCCACGUUGGCUCCAAUUCCCGGGAAUGUCGUAGCCGGAGAGAGUCGUCGGCUCCGUAACGCCGUGAGUUAACGUGAAGUACGUCGGUGGAUCUCUACGGGCCGCGUUCCUUGGAAAAAUGUAAAAGCCCACACAAAACAAAAGCCGAAGCCCUUACCCCUUUUAAUGAAACACGGAGUUUGGCAAUAGAGUGGACAGGUGUGGCGUUCUGGUGAGAUGACUUUCUGACUGGAUCCUAGGUGCCAGCACAAAAGGGUGGCAAAUAUUUUUUUAUAUAUAUAUAUAGAUAGAUCGUAAGAAAGAUUGCAUGAUUAAUAAAUUCUUUUUUUUAUAACAUUUUUUUAAAACUAUUUUUUUUUUAUAAAAUCAGAUUAAUAAAUUCUUAUUUAUCAAAAGGGAAAUGAUUAAAAGAUACUUUAUAACAUCAAAUUAAUACUCUAUCCGUUCCACGAAGAUAAACUUUUUAGUAUUUUCAGAGAUAUUAAGAAAACACAUUAAACUACCACAAUAAAUGUAUCAUUUUCUGUAAUUUUCAAUUUUCAAUUUUCAAUAAAUUUUAACCAAUAAUAAUUCAAUAAAGUCAAUUAAUUUUAUUGAAGUUUACAAUUUUUUCAUAGAAAACACAAAAAUACAUCGUUGUGAAACAAUUUUUUUCUAAAAAGUCUAUUUUAUUGAAACGGAGGAAGUAUAACAGAACAAAAGAUAAUAGGAUUACGUGGUAGACAUAAUAUUUUGCGUUUGUAAAAUUCUUUAUUUAUUUGGAAGGUGAUGUUUAUAAAACAUUUUUAUAUAAUUGGAGCAUUUAAUUAUAGAGAUUGAUGAGAGAAUCUCAUACUUAUUUAUGGUGUAUAUAUAUAUAUAUACAAUAAUACAUAAUAUUUAUUAAAAAUAUCUAUAUUAUUCUAGAUGCUUCUAUACGCUCUUUCAGUGUGAAGGUGGUAAGUUUAAUAUUGACCUGGUGAUAUUGAGUAUUUUUUGGAUUUUCUAACGUAACUUUGCUUCUUCUUGUGGAAUUGCUAACAUUGAUGUUGAAAGUGCAUGGAAAUUGUGGUAUGCGUUGUGAUGAGCCUUUGUUUAGUCAUAACUCGUUUUUGACAAAAUGGUUUUAGAUUAUUUUUUGGUAAGUCUCUGGAUGAAAACGUUCGUCGAAAUAACAGAAUGUUUGACACUAUUAAGUAUUGUAACCACGUAUCAAAACUGUAUUUGGUUUGAAUGAGAAAUCUAAUCUAUUAAUUUAUAGUCAAUGGCUUCUGGAAGGGUGUUUUUAUCUAUUUUAAUAAGCUCUUUGAGUAUUGGGGUUUUAUUUGGGUUCAUAGGUAUAAGGGAAGAAAUUCUUGUUUUGCUUCUUUGGGUUUCUAUUAUGUUUUGGAAUAAAAUGGUAUUUUGGUGUUUCUGGUACUUUAAUUGUUUGGAAGAAUGUGUUCAGUACUGUGGGAAUAGCUAUGUUACUUUGACACGACAAUAUGGAUACGUUUGGAGGUUUUUACGUAUAUGGCAAGUACUGGUUGGGGUCAUGGUGUUGUGGUUUGUUGGAGACAGGUGGAGAGAGAUAAAAUAUAUACACAAUGCUUGCUUGGCUCUGUUUUUAGUGGUAUAUUGGUGUUGCUUGUGUGUGUGGCAGGUACGAGAGAGAACCGGCAAGCUACAUCGUUGUGAAACAAUUUUUUUCUAAAAAGUCUAUUUUAUUGAAACGGAGGAAGUAUAACAGAACAAAAGAUAAUAGGAUUACGUGGUAGACAUAAUAUUUUGCGUUUGUAAAAUUCUUUAUUUAUUUGGAAGGUGAUGUUUAUAAAACAUUUUUAUAUAAUUGGAGCAUUUAAUUAUAGAGAUUGAUGAGAGAAUCUCAUACUUAUUUAUGGUGUAUAUAUAUAUAUAUACAAUAAUACAUAAUAUUUAUUAAAAAUAUCUAUAUUAUUCUAGAUGCUUCUAUACGCUCUUUCAGUGUGAAGGUGGUAAGUUUAAUAUUGACCUGGUGAUAUUGAGUAUUUUUUGGAUUUUCUAACGUAACUUUGCUUCUUCUUGUGGAAUUGCUAACAUUGAUGUUGAAAGUGCAUGGAAAUUGUGGUAUGCGUUGUGAUGAGCCUUUGUUUAGUCAUAACUCGUUUUUGACAAAAUGGUUUUAGAUUAUUUUUUGGUAAGUCUCUGGAUGAAAACGUUCGUCGAAAUAACAGAAUGUUUGACACUAUUAAGUAUUGUAACCACGUAUCAAAACUGUAUUUGGUUUGAAUGAGAAAUCUAAUCUAUUAAUUUAUAGUCAAUGGCUUCUGGAAGGGUGUUUUUAUCUAUUUUAAUAAGCUCUUUGAGUAUUGGGGUUUUAUUUGGGUUCAUAGGUAUAAGGGAAGAAAUUCUUGUUUUGCUUCUUUGGGUUUCUAUUAUGUUUUGGAAUAAAAUGGUAUUUUGGUGUUUCUGGUACUUUAAUUGUUUGGAAGAAUGUGUUCAGUACUGUGGGAAUAGCUAUGUUACUUUGACACGACAAUAUGGAUACGUUUGGAGGUUUUUACGUAUAUGGCAAGUACUGGUUGGGGUCAUGGUGUUGUGGUUUGUUGGAGACAGGUGGAGAGAGAUAAAAUAUAUACACAAUGCUUGCUUGGCUCUGUUUUUAGUGGUAUAUUGGUGUUGCUUGUGUGUGUGGCAGGUACGAGAGAGAACCGGCAAGCUGUGGUGGAGGUCUUCAAGGAAACAUAGAUGGGGGGAGCGAAGAGUGAUAUGGCGCUUAUUGGAACACACUGUUGGGUAUGUUUCUACUAUUGGGCUUUAUUAAUUAUGAAAUUGGGCUUUGUCGUUUCAAAUUUUGUUUUCAUCGUUCAAGUUAAUUGUUUUGAUAAGAAAUUGUUUUAUGAGAAAUAGAAGAAGUCAAAGCUUGCGGCUGAAUUUUCUGAACGAGCUUCCAAAAGCGUUAACGGAACGUGAUUGUGGGAGAGAUGGGCAAGGAUUUCUCCUGAGCAGUUACGAUCUUUUGACUAUAAAGAGAGAAGUUUGGAGCUUGAAAGGGGGCACAAUUUGAUCAUCUCUUCUUCUUUCUCUAAGUUUUCUGGUUUUCAAAUUGAGAGUUUCAUCUCUCCUGGAUUGAGUGCACAAUUCAGGUGAGAGCAGAGUUAACCCUGGAGUGACCCGCCUUGGUUAUCUUGCACCCGGGAUUAGGCGGUUUUUUCGCUCAAGUGCAGUAGAUCUUUCUACGGCUCUGCAACUUGUUUUCCUUUGUGUUCUGGUUUCUGAAUCUUUUAAAGCUUUAUUUAUAACAUUCUUGAGCGAAAAAAUAUAUAUAAUUCUUACGAUUCAGAAUGCCGAAGAACUCUGCAGUACCGGAUCUGUCCAAACUUCAACCUCUGACUGGUUCUAAUUACCGUAGGUGGUCAGAGGAACUCAUGUUCUUCUUCCAAGAGAUUGGUCUUGACUAUGUUCUCAACGACGACAAGUCCUUUGCGACUUCAGCAACUCCGACUUCCGACAACUCUCAAGGUGAGACUGGCUCGCAGUCUGGUAAGAAGAAACCAGAAGGCACUCUUGAAGAUCACAACCGAACUUGCCGUGGUCAUAUCAUCCGACACCUUUCGGAGAAGCUCUUUGACAUAUAUGUCAACUAUGACUCAGCAAAAGAAAUCUGGAACAACUUGAAGAAAAGAUACGGAGCUGAAGAUGAAGGGAAAAAGCAGUAUGUCACCUCCAAAUGGACCUCUUUUCAGAUGAAGGAUGACGUACCAGUGCUGGAUCAACUCCAUGAGUAUGAAGCCAUUGUUUCCAAGAUUCAGGCUGAGGGCUUACCAAUUGAUGAGCAGCUGGCGGCCUUGGUGCUCAUCGACAAGUUGUCUCCAUCAUGGAAUGACUAUCGCUCCAAGCUGAAGCAUGAGAAAAAGAAGAUGUCUCUUGACGAGCUGAUCGCUGACAUUAUGAUCGAAGAUGCAAACAGAAAGUAUUUAGGUAAAAACACCAACGCUCGUUCAUUUCCUAAUAAUGCUAAUGUGGUGGAAAGUUCUGGUGAAAAGAACAGGUUACAAUCUCACAAAAACCAUGGCGCAAAAGCUCUUAAGCCAUCUGCUGAUUUCAAGAAAAAGAUGAAGUGUUGGAACUGCAACAAAACUGGCCACAAGAAGCAAGACUGUCGUCUGCCACCACAACGAAAGGACUCAAACAAAGCUCAUCUUACGGAGGAGUUAAUUGCUGUCACCACUGAGGUAAACGCUGCAAUUGACGUUGUGGAAUGGAUCAUUGACUCUGGCUCCACACGUCAUAUUUGCAGCAGGAAGUCUCUGUUCAAAACUCUUGAUGAGUCUCCACGUGAUAGUGUCUUCUUAGGUGAUGCUAGUGCUUUGCAAGUUGCUGGAAUUGGUGAAGUUGAUUUGAAAUUGUCAUCUGGAAGAGUUUUAACUUUGACUAAGGUUUUGUUUGUUCCAAACAUGCAUAGAAAUCUGAUUUCUAGUGCUUUGUUGAUGAUUGCUGGGUUUAAACAAACUCUUGAUGCUGGAAAGUUAGUGAUUACUAAAAAUGGGGGGUACGUGGGAAAGGCUUUUUGUAAUGGGAAUCUCUUUGUUCUUGAUGUUAUGAAUGAAAUAAGUGGUAGUGCUUCUGCUUACUUUGUGUGUGCUCUGGACACUUGGCAUGGUAGACUAGGACAUUUAAAUGUGAACUCUAUCAAACGUUUAAAGCAUGCAAAUCUGAUUUCUGAUAACUUGGAGAAAGAUAUUUCAAAAUGUGAAAUUUGUGUAGAAGCAAAACACGCUAGAAAGCCUUUUUCUCAUCCCAUUGAUCGAAAAUCUGAAUUGCUUGAACUCAUUCAUUCUGAUUUGGCUGAUUUUAAAAACACUCCUAGUAGAGGUGGUAAACAUUAUUAUAUUACCUUUGUUGAUGAUUUUUCUAGAUAUACGAGAGUUUAUCUAUUAAGAACAAAGGAUGAGGCAUGUGAAAUGUUUAUGCAAUAUAAAGCUGAAGUAGAAAAUCAGUUAGAUAGAAAAGUUAAGAGGUUAAGGACUGAUAGAGGUGGAGAAUAUGAAUCUGAAAUUCUGAAGUCUUUGUGUUUAAAAGAAGGAAUUAUUCAUGAGAAAACUGCACCUUAUACCCCCCAGCAAAAUGGUAUAGCUGAAAGAAAAAAUCGUACUCUUAAGGAAAUGAUGAAUGCUAUGCUUAUUAGUUCUGGGUUACCUGAUCAAAUGUGGGGGGAAGCUGUUCUUUCUGCUUGUUAUAUCUUGAAUAAAGUGCCUCAUAAAAGAAUUCCAGCUACUCCAUAUGAACUUUGGAAAGGUCAUUCUCCUAAUUUGAAUUAUUUAAGAGUGUGGGGGUGUCUUGCUAAAGUAGGAUUGCCUAGUUUUAAGAAGAAUAACAUUGGUCCUAAGACUGUGGAUGCUGUUUUUAUUGGAUAUGCUUUGAACAGUGCUGCUUAUCGUUGCUUGACUUUUAAACCUGAUUCUCUGCAAUUUGACAGCAUUACUGAGUCUAGAGAUGUUGAAUUUUUUGAAAAUGUGUUUCCUUUUAAGAGAAAUUUAGAAUCUGGUUCUUCUAGUAAUACAUCUACUAAAAGAACUCUUGAGGAUAAUAAUGAAGAGCUUAGAAGGAGUAAGAGAAUAAGAACCGAAACUGAUUUUGGUCCUGAUUUCAUUACUACAUUCUUAGCUGAAUAUGAUGAGUUUAGUGAAGAGUUUGUGUAUGCUUUCUUGAUAGAAGAAGAUCCUAAAACGUUUUCUGAAGCUAUGAAAUCCAUUGAUGCUGUUUUUUGGAAAGAGGCUGUUAACGUUGAAUUUGAUUCUAUUAUGGCUAACCACACUUUUGAGCUUGUUGAUCUGCCUAGGGGCUGCAAGGUUAUCAGAUGCAAGUGGCUUAUGAAAAAGAAGCUGAAAGCUGAUGGUACUCUAGACAAAUUUAAGGCAAGGCUGGUGGCGCAAGGAAAUUCUCAAAAACAGGGAGUAGACUAUUUUGAUACUUACGCUCCUGUUACUAAGAUUGCAUCCAUUCGCAUAUUGUUUGCUCUUGCAUCUAUUCAUAAGUUAGUUGUCCAUCAAAUGGAUGUGAAAACUGCAUUUUUGAAUGGUGAUUUGCAUGAGGAAAUUUAUAUGAUGCAGCCUGAGGGAUUUAUUGUGCCUGGUCAAGAACAUAAAGUGUGCAAACUAAAUAAAUCUCUUUAUGGUCUUAAGCAGGCUCGUAAACAAUGGUUUGAAAAAUUCAGUAACACUUUGCAUGAAAAUGGUUUUGUUCCAAACUUUGGAGAUACGUGUGUGUUUUCUAAGAUGCAUGAGCAUGGAUAUGUUAUUAUAUGUUUAUAUGUUGAUGACAUGCUUAUUCUUGGCACAUCUCUGGAAAUUGUUUGUGAAACAAAAGUUUUCUUGAGUUCUAAAUUUGAUAUGAAAGAUUUAGGUGAAGUUGAUGUCAUUCUUGGGAUAAAAGUGGUAAAAACUGACUCUGGUUUUUCAUUAAAUCAAUCUCAUUAUGUUGAAAAGAUUCUUAAGAAAUUUGGGUAUUGGGAUGAAACUAGUGCUAAAUCUCCUUAUGAUUCAUCUCUACAUUUGUGUAAAAAUAGAGGAGAAAGUGUGAACCAGUCUGAAUAUGCUAAGAUCAUGGGAAGUAUAAUGUAUUUGAUGAACAGUACAAGACCUGAUAUUGCAUAUGCUGUGAGUAGAUUAAGUAGAUAUACUCAUAAUCCUGGUUCUGAUCAUUGGAUAGCACUUGGUCGUUUAAUGAGAUAUUUGAAAGGAACUCUUGAUUGGAACUUGUGCUAUAGUGGUUCUCCAAGUGUACUUGAAGCUUAUUGUGAUGCUAAUUGGGUGUCAGACAAUGAUGAAGUAAACUCUACCAGUGGUUUUGUAUUUACUUUAGGUGGAGGAGCUGUAGCAUGGAAAUCUACUAAACAAUCUUGCAUUGCUCGCUCCACCAUGGAAUCUGAACUAAUUGCUCUCGAAUUGGCAGGUCAAGAAGCUGAUUGGUUGAGAAACUUGCUUGCUGAUAUCCAUGUAGAGAAUGGAUAAGUCCGGUUCAGUUUGGUAGACGUAGAAGUGUUGAGGUGAUAAGGAUCGAGAUGGUUGGAGAUAUGCAUUAGAAGAUUGUGAUAAGGAUUGUAGAAGAUAUUGUGCUUGAGUAUAUUCUUGUAACAAGCACGUAUAUAUAUGUGUAACAUAAGACGUGAAUAAACAACAAGUUCAUACAAAUCAAUCUCUCUUAGUUUACAGACAAUGAUUACAAGACGUAGUUCUCCGUGUAACACUAAAAUUAACAGACAGUUUACAUAUACGAUAUUUUCGAUGGACAAUCUCUCUUCAUAGCACAAGUCCACAACAAAGGGUUCUACCUACAACACUAUAGAAUUUCCGAUAAGCUUUGAAUCCGUAUAAUCUAUAAAAGUUGCUUCAUCUAAGAAUCAAAUCCCUAACUUUGUGUAGAAGCAUUUAAACCCUUGAUUACUAGACCUAUGGAUUCCACAAAUAAGAGUUGUUUAUGCAUCUGAGAAGGCGUGACUGUAACAUCAAAAGCUUCUCUUUACGUUUAGGAAGCUUACUUUCUGAAUGCAUAUGCCAAUCAUAAUAACAAUCACGAAAUAAAUAAAUAAAGAAGUCUUUUGGAACAUGUAGGAUUUUAAUGGCUAGAGCCUUAAUAAAUAGAUAUAUGAAAGCUUAUAAAAGUUGCGUUCCCACAAAUAAAAAAGAAGAGAAACAUUGAUGCUUAUCGUUCACGGGUAUAUCUUGUUGGGUAUGUUUCUACUAUUGGGCUUUAUUAAUUAUGAAAUUGGGCUUUGUCGUUUCAAAUUUUGUUUUCAUCGUUCAAGUUAAUUGUUUUGAUAAGAAAUUGUUUUAUGAGAAAUAGAAGAAGUCAAAGCUUGCGGCUGAAUUUUCUGAACGAGCUUCCAAAAGCGUUAACGGAACGUGAUUGUGGGAGAGAUGGGCAAGGAUUUCUCCUGAGCAGUUACGAUCUUUUGACUAUAAAGAGAGAAGUUUGGAGCUUGAAAGGGGGCACAAUUUGAUCAUCUCUUCUUCUUUCUCUAAGUUUUCUGGUUUUCAAAUUGAGAGUUUCAUCUCUCCUGGAUUGAGUGCACAAUUCAGGUGAGAGCAGAGUUAACCCUGGAGUGACCCGCCUUGGUUAUCUUGCACCCGGGAUUAGGCGGUUUUUUCGCUCAAGUGCAGUAGAUCUUUCUACGACUCUGCAACUUGUUUUUCGUUUGUGUUCUGGUUUCUGAAUCUUUUAAAGAUUUAUUUAUAACAUUCUUGAGCGAAAAAAAUAUUAAAAAAAGAUAUUAUAUAUAUAAUUCUUACGAUUCAGAAUGCCGAAGAACUUUGCAGUACCGGAUCUGUCCAAACUUCAACCUCUGACUGGUUCUAAUUACCGUAGGUGGUCAGAGGAACUCAUGUUCUUCUUCCAAGAGAUUGGUCUUGACUAUGUUCUCAACGACGACAAGUCCUUUGCGACUUCAGCAACUCCGACUUCCGACAACUCUCAAGGUGAGACUGGCUCGCAGUCUGGUAAGAAGAAACCAGAAGGCACUCUUGAAGAUCACAACCGAACUUGCCGUGGUCAUAUCAUCCGACACCUUUCGGAGAAGCUCUUUGACAUAUAUGUCAACUAUGACUCAGCAAAAGAAAUCUGGAACAACUUGAAGAAAAGAUACGGAGCUGAAGAUGAAGGGAAAAAGCAGUAUGUCACCUCCAAAUGGACCUCCUUUCAGAUGAAGGAUGACGUACCAGUGCUGGAUCAACUCCAUGAGUAUGAAGCCAUUGUUUCCAAGAUUCAGGCUGAGGGCUUACCAAUUGAUGAGCAGCUGGCGGCCUUGGUGCUCAUCGACAAGUUGUCUCCAUCAUGGAAUGACUAUCGCUCCAAGCUGAAGCAUGAGAAAAAGAAGAUGUCUCUUGACGAGCUGAUCGCUGACAUUAUGAUCGAAGAUGCAAACAGAAAGUAUUUAGGUAAAAACACCAACGCUCGUUCAUUUCCUAAUAAUGCUAAUGUGGUGGAAAGUUCUGGUGAAAAGAACAGGUUACAAUCUCACAAAAACCAUGGCGCAAAAGCUCUUAAGCCAUCUGCUGAUUUCAAGAAAAAGAUGAAGUGUUGGAACAAAGCUCAUCUUACGGAGGAGUUAAUUGCUGUCACCACUGAGGUAAACGCUGCAAUUGACGUUGUGGAAUGGAUCAUUGACUCUGGCUCUACACGUCAUAUUUGCAGCAGGAAGUCUCUGUUCAAAACUCUUGAUGAGUCUCCACGUGAUAGUGUCUUCUUAGGUGAUGCUAGUGCUUUGCAAGUUGCUGGAAUUGGUGAACUUGAUUUGAAAUUGUCAUCUGGAAGAGUUUUAACUUUGACUAAGGUUUUGUUUGUUCCAAACAUGCGUAGAAAUCUGAUUUCUAGUGCUUUGUUGAUGAUUGCUGGGUUUAAACAAACUCUUGAUGCUGGAAAGUUAGUGAUUACUAAAAAUGGGGGGUACGUGGGAAAUAAAAAUAGAGGAGAAAGUGUGAACCAGUCUGAAUAUGCUAAGAUCAUGGGAAGUAUAAUGUAUUUGAUGAAUAGUACAAGACCUGAUAUUGCAUAUGCUGUGAGUAGAUUAAGUAGAUAUACUCAUAAUCCUGGUUCUAAUCACUGGACAGCACUUGGUCGUUUAAUGAGAUAUUUGAAAGGAACUCUUGAUUGGAACUUAUGCUAUAGUGGUUCUCCAUGUGUACUUGAAGCUUAUUGUGAUGCUAAUUGGGUGUCAGACAAUGAUGAAGUAAACUCUACCAGUGGUUUUGUAUUUACUUUAGGUGGAGGAGCUGUAGCAUGGAAAUCUACUAAACAAUCUUGCAUUGCUCGCUCCACCAUGGAAUCUGAACUAAUUGCUCUCGAAUUGGCAGGUCAAGAAGCUGAUUGGUUGAGAAACUUGCUUGCUGAUAUCCCAAAGAUAGGAAGACCAUGUCCUUCUGUGUCCAUGAGAUGUGAUUCUCAAGCUGCUAUAGCAGUGGCUAUGAAUGUAUUGUAUAAUGGGAAGAAACGGCAUAUCCGUAUGAGACAUAAAGUGAUACGCAGCUUAAUUGAAGCAGGUGUGAUAUCACUUGAGUUUGUGAGAUCAGGGAAGAAUAUAGCUGAUCCACUAACGAAAGGCUUGUGUGGACGAAUGGUCCUGGACACAGCAAAGGAAAUGGGAUUAACACCUCUUUCAGGUUAGAUCAUUUUGGAUACCCUACCAAGAAUUUCAUUUAUAUUUGAGUUCUUGGUUCAAAGUGGUCAAACGAAAAAAUGAUCAUAAUCUGAUGGCAUUUAAAAUCUCUUAAUGUUGUAUGUGGCAGGUUGAGACACAUGGUCUCUUAAUGAACUUAUUCCUGUAUGGGGGUGUGAGACAACACACACUUGAUAAGUCACCUAAUAAUUGUUGAGGUAAAUAUUGCCUAACUAGAUGAGUUGUGGGUUAACUCACUAGAACACUUAUGACGCAGGGUUGAAAGAACAAGUUAAAAAAAACACUUGUAUAGAAUUUGCGAAACUCUCAAAUUAUUUUGUUGAUUCAAGUCUGUAAAGGACAUCAACGUGUGUUUUUUGUUUCAAUUUUUGUUCUCGAAACAUGUGGGGGAUUGUUGGGUAUGUUUCUACUAUUGGGCUUUAUUAAUUAUGAAAUUGGGCUUUGUCGUUUCAAAUUUUGUUUUCAUCGUUCAAGUUAAUUGUUUUGAUAAGAAAUUGUUUUAUGAGAAAUAGAAGAAGUCAAAGCUUGCGGCUGAAUUUUCUGAACGAGCUUCCAAAAGCGUUAACGGAACGUGAUUGUGGGAGAGAUGGGCAAGGAUUUCUCCUGAGCAGUUACGAUCUUUUGACUAUAAAGAGAGAAGUUUGGAGCUUGAAAGGGGGCACAAUUUGAUCAUCUCUUCUUCUUUCUCUAAGUUUUCUGGUUUUCAAAUUUCAGAAGUCAUUGGACCAUCAGUUAUCUUCGGGAAACAUGACAUAAAUAUAAACCGAUUUUUUUAUUUUUAUCUGAAACAAAACAGGAUUUUGAAUUUGUACAAAGAUUCCAAUCACAUAUUGGUUAUGAUAGCCUGGUAACCGUGGAUCCAUCUGGGAGAAGUGGGAGUCUAACUCUUUUUUAUAAUAAUGAGCAUCAAGUUAAGAUUCUAUAUUCUAGUAAUAGAAUGAUAGAUAUUGAGACGGUGGCAAAUGGGAAACAAGUUUUCCUUACUUUUGUCUAUGGAGAACCGGUUCAAAAAUUAAGAGAUCAUGUUUGGGAGAGAUUGACUCGGUAUGGAAUAUCACGAUCUGAACCUUGGUUUAUUAUAGGAGAUUUAAAUGAGAUCACUGAGAAUCAUGAAAAGGAUGGGGGAGUUGUGAGAUGCCCGACCUCUUUCAUAUCUUUUAACAAUAUGAUACGAAAUAGUGGGUUAUUAGAAUUCCAGGCUCGUGGAAAUACUAUGUCCUGGCAAGGAAGGAGAGGCAAAGGAAAAGGAGCAGUGACGGUAAGAUGUAGAUUGGAUCGAGCCUUGGCAAAUGAGGAAUGGCAUACGCUUUUCCCAUGUUCUUAUACAUAAUAUCUGGGGUUGGUGGGAUCAGACCAUCUACCAGUGAUGGCUUUUCUCGAUGAUAAAAUGAACAGAAGCAAACGAGGACAAUUCAGGUUCGAUAAGAGGUGGAUUGGCCAAGAGGGUCUUAUGGAAUCAAUCGUGUCAGGCUGGACAUAGAAUCAGGACGGCCGAGUAGAGGAUUUUGUUACAAAAAUUAGUAAUUGUCGUCAUGAGAUAUCUUCAUGGCGGAAAGAAAAUCAACCAUAUGGAAAGGAUAAAAUUCAAAAUCUUCAACAGGCGUUGGAAGAAGUACAAACAGAUAAUGAUAGAUCACAAGAGGAUAUUCUCGAGGUUUCUCGGAAAUUACAAGAGGCUUAUAAGGAUGAGGAGGAAUAUUGGCAUCAGAAAAGUCGGAAUAUGUGGCAUUCAUCAGGAGAUCUUAAUACUAAAUUUUAUCAUGCAUUAACAAAGCAGCGUCGGAUCCGUAAUAAAAUAGUGGGACUUCAUGAUGAAACGGGCAAUUGGAUUACAGAUGAGAAUGGGCUUGAAAAGGUAGCGGUUGAUUAUUUUGAGGAUUUGUUUAGCACUACUACCCCAACGGAGUUUGAUAGUUUUCUGGAAGAAAUUGUACCUUCCAUUUCCCCUCAGAUGAAUCAAAUAUUACUGCGAACAGCAACAGAGGAAGAGGUUCGACAAGCUCUAUUUAUGAUGCAUCCUGAGAAAGCACCAGACCUUCAUCAGGAGAUCUUAAUACUAAAUUUUAUCAUGCAUUAACAAAGCAGCGUCGGAUCCGUAAUAAAAUAGUGGGACUUCAUGAUGAAACGGGCAAUUGGAUUACAGAUGAGAAUGGGCUUGAAAAGGUAGCGGUUGAUUAUUUUGAGGAUUUGUUUAGCACUACUACCCCAACGGAGUUUGAUAGUUUUCUGGAAGAAAUUGUACCUUCCAUUUCCCCUCAGAUGAAUCAAAUAUUACUGCGAACAGCAACAGAGGAAGAGGUUCGACAAGCUCUAUUUAUGAUGCAUCCUGAGAAAGCACCAGACCCAGAUGGGAUGACAGCUCUUUUCUUUCAGCACUCCUGGCAUAUUAUUAAGAAGGAUGUGGUUGAGAUGGUAAAUAAUUUUCUGGUUACAGGUGAUCUGGACCCACGGUUGAAUAUAACCAAUAUUUGCAUGAUAGCAAAGACAGAAAGACUUACAAGGAUGACGGAAUUAAGGCCGAUAAGUCUAUGUAAUGUUGGCUAUAAGAUUAUUUCAAAAAGUCUUGUGCCAAAGACUGAAAAUUUGUCUACCACGGUUAAUAUCGGAAACACAAUCGGCUUUUGUGGCAGGAAGGUUAAUAUCAGAUAAUAUUCUUAUCGCCCAGGAAAUGUUUCAUGGACUGAGAAGUAAUAAAUCUUGUCAAAAUAGAUUCAUGGCGAUAAAAACGGAUAUGAGUAAGGCAUAUGAUCGGAUAGAAUGGAAUUUAUUGAGGCUCUUCUCCAUAAGAUGGGCUUUGAUCCUCGCUGGAUUAAAUUAAUGCGAGAGUGUAUAUCCUCGGUUCAAUAUAGGGUACUUCUUAACGGUCAGCCACGAGGGCUGAUAAUACCACAGCGUGGACUACGUCAAGGGGAUCCUUUAUCUCCUUACCUAUUUAUUAUGUGUACGGAGGCCUUAAUUGCGAAUAUAAAGAAGGCGGAGCGGCUGAAACAAUUAACGGGUUUGAAGGUAGCAAGAGCUUGUCCAGCAAUAUCUCAUUUGUUGUUUGCGGACGAUAGUCUUUUCUUUUGUAAGGCAAUAAAAGAAGAGUGUCAAACUAUUCUUAGGAUUCUCAAGGAAUAUGAGACUAUGUCAGGGCAACAAAUUAAUUUUUUUUUUUUUUUUGAUUAACCUGGAGGGAUCUCAACCCCCAGGGGACUAACCCCUCGGCGCGAGGCAGUCCAUUUGUUACUAUGGGAAUUAGAUACCCAAUUAUCUGGUCAAACACUUGGGCAUAUCUGAGGGGGAGGAUCGAACCCGCGGCCCUUAGGACCAACGAAUUCGCCUCGCGCCACUCGACCACAAGCGCUUGGUUUUUAUUGAGUGUUGUAUGUAGCAUCUCUUGUUUCUUAUAUGUUUUGUUAGAAGAGACACUUGGCCUCUUUUUCUUUUGUUGUAAGGCCAUUUGCCCUUUGAGAAUUGCGAUUCUGUCUUUAUCAAUGAAGGUUCAUUUAUAUUUAAAAUAGCGGCAACCCCUGAGUUAUUUGAAUACAGUAUCAAAUGGAUAAGUUGUGCGAAAAUAUUUAGGAGACGACAUAAUUUGCCAGAAAACAAAGAAGAUAAAAUCAAUUCUUGUCCACAUAAUUUUUGUAACUUAUCCAUAUCCUAGUCAGGCCGUAGCAUGUUUAACGCAUGUUAUUUUAUAGCAUGUUGGUCUACUCUACAGCUUUUUAUAUAUUUAUCUCAUAUAAGCACACGGGAAAACGGCUCUUCACCGUAUUAUUAUUGAUUUACAAAUGCGAUUCUUGACAAGAAAUAGUGUAAACACGUAAACCAAUCAUAUCAGUUACUUGAGUUAAUGCGAAAUAAGAAAACAGACUCGUGCCAGUUGCAAAGAAGGCAUGCAUGCAUGCAAGUUGCCUUCAUAUGUUUCUCAAAAAAAAAAAUUUAUUGCCUUCAUAUAAAUCAACAGAAAAAGACAUCAUACAAGUUGUGUAUAGACAUCAUUUUUAUAUUAUAUAUGUAAACAAAUAUCUUUUACAACAUUUUACCUCGCUAAAAGGGGAUGGAUUGAACUUUAACUAAGCCACAA
rnacentral:lncRNA from 1 species